UCUCUACAUCACCUUCUUAUGCUUCACAAGUCUUUCAUUCGAGCAAUUGUGCUUAGUAGUAGCUUGUGAAGAAUGUAAAACUUCACGGUCCAGUUCCAGAUAAGUCUACUUUUAGCAAAUCCUAGUAGAAGACAGUAGCAUUAUGAGAAUCUGAUGAUUCUCUUUUACAUCAAGUACUUUAGUAUGUGUACUAUAUGUUCUUUAGGGUCUUUACAUAUGCACUAAUGGUAGUUCAUGAAGCUUGAAACUG
rnacentral:misc_RNA from 1 species